rnacentral:rRNA from 1 species
UACGGGGGGGGCAAGCGUUGUUCGGAAUUACUGGGCGUAAAGGGCUCGUAGGUGGCCAACUAAGUCAGACGUGAAAUCCCUCGGCUUAACCGGGGAACUGCGUCUGAUACUGGAUGGCUUGAGUUCGGGAGAGGGAAGCGGAAUUCCGGGUGUAGCGGUGAAAUGCGUAGAUAUCCGGAGGAACACCGGUGGCGAAGGCGGCUUCCUGGACCGACACUGACGCUGAAACACGAAAGCGUGGGUAGCAAACAGG